GCCCAAGUCUCGACCGAACCGGCACCUACCAGACGACGCUCGAUUCCCCUCGCUCCUAGGGUUAGCAACCGCCCCCGCCGCCGCCGCCGCCGCCCCCGCCCCGGCGCCGCAGAUACACACUCCUCUCUUCCCUACUCGACCACAUCCAUUCGAUGUCGCCCAGCCCCAGCCAUCGACGACGCGACCCUGACGCCCUCGUCUGCUCCCACCGCCGCCGGACUGCAUCCACCCGACUCCCUCCUCUGCCCCCGACGACGCAACCCCACCGGUAUCCAAGGUCUCACCAGCGCGGCUAGUCGGAGGUGUGGCGGCGAGCGCGCGGGGAUGAUGGAGGACGUCGGCUCCGGUGACGCGACAGCGCAAGGCAGCCGAUCUCAAGACCCCAUGACGCCGCCAGAUCUGUCCCCGCCGCCUCCUUUCUCAGGGCCCACUGGACGUUCGAAAUCCCCCACGGUGAGAAGUUAUGUUAUGGAAACUGAAGACUUGUUUGUGCCUGUUUGGGUAAAAAACUACAGUGAGAAAAGAAGGAAGAACUGGGUGCCGUCAUCGUCUGAUCUCAAACUACUUUCGCUCAAUCGUCUUAAACAGCAACAAGCUUGUGAGGAUAACCGCAAGGUGACUGUGAAGGAUGUAAGUUGGAGGAAGAAGUGGGUGGUGGCGUGGAUGGAUGUGGUGAGUAGGAAGAUGUGUGUGUCAUAUACAGACAUAAUCAUCAUGGUCAUGCUUGUCAUAGCCGCCAUCCCGCAUGACGAGGACUACCACGACUUUGCUGACCAACACACACUUUUCCUUGGGAUCCCUAAUACGCUGAAUGUGAUCUCAACGAUCCCCCUCUUUUUUGUCGGUCUCGCCGGGCUCAUCCUUAACCACUGCAAAAGCUAUUUUAGGCUAUGGUCACAGGGGGAUCUCUACACACUCUUUGCUUGUGUCAGUGCUGCUGGCUUUGGUUCAUGCUAUUACCAUCUCAACCCAGAAAAUGGCACCCUAUUUUGGCACAAAUUGCCAAUGGUGACCACUUUCACAUGUUUUGAGGCCAUUUUCAUUAUUGAAAGUUUUGAUGAUUGGGCAAGAACAAAGUCCCUUGCAUCAACAAGCUACUGGUUAUGGGCAGCAGGACUGUACCUCCUUGCUAGAGUAGAAGAGGUUGCGGACAAACAAAUUUAUAGGUGGACUCUUCAGAUUGUUAGUGGGCAUACUCUUGGUCAUUUAUGUGUUUCGAUGGUACCUCUUUUUUUGAUUCUCAUGUUAGCAGAAAGGUCAAGGCCAGUUGAACUAGAAAGACGCAUGGUUCCAGUGGAUCAUCAACUAAAUCUUACUUCCAUGGUCUGCUUAUUGGUGCCCAAGAUGAUCUGCCUCUGGGUGCCCAUGAUACAGGUUAGUGUCACCAUUUGCGAAAUCGGCAUUCUGAUGAUGGAGUUUGGUGCUCGUUCUGUUAAUCAGGCAAAGAUCUCUGACGAUCAAGCAACGUUAGAAACCCCAAUUCGUGCUUGGGAAACUCUGUCACGAAUUCAUGGCCUUUGGGGGAUGGACAUUUACAAGAAUAAGGUGCUUCAGUUUUUACAGAGUGAGCGGUCGGAUGAGUCCUUUCUUGGACUAUGGGGCCCGCCGGGUGUUGGCAAGACGCGACUUCUUUCACUCAUUGCUGCUAGCUAUGCCGAUUCAUUCCGUCACAUCUUAUUUCUUGAUGGUGGCAGCAGCGUGAUAGUUAUGCAACAUCAUCUUGCUUCUUUCUUGAAAUUGGAUUGGGAGACGAUGUCGGCGUUAGAGGAGCAUUGCCGAGCUAAGAUCAUCACUGACAUUCUAGUGCAAGACAGUUUUUUGCUUCUAUUAGACAACCUUUAUGAUGGACCCUACCCAGACUUGGUAGCUGUUGGUUUGCCGAUGCCUCUUGGGUGUCAUCAAAAGGUUGUUCUUACAUCAAGGAGACAGAGGGUGUGUAUAUUGAUGGAAUGCACGAUAUCAAAUAUUGUGCAGAUGAAGUGCCUCGGGGACGAAGAUGCUUGGAGACUUUUCAAGUACCAUGCGGGAGUUGAAAUCACAGAAGCUGAUGCUGAAAUUUACGAUUAUGCAAAACAGAUGGUCCGGGCAUGUGGUGGGUUGCCUAGAGGCAUAUGUGCCCUUGGCAAAGGCGUUGCCCGAGUGACUUUUGGUGGUAAGGAUCUAUUUGCUUGGCAGUUCGCGUACAGGAAAACCAUGGGAAGAAUUCGACAUCCCGAGCAAAUGCCAGAAAUAGCGUAUGUUCUGGUCUAGGCACUUGUGCGUGGCUCGUAGUAGAUGUGGAGAUAUAGCGGCAGUAGGAGUUGAAUAGUCCAAAUGGCGGCAGUUUGAUGCUUACUUGUGAAUAUGGUGUGAUAUGUUUGAUGAUAAUACUUUCUAGUAUGUGUUUUCUUGACUUGUCAGUCUUCUGAUGCGUAAACACAGAGCAGAACACCUUCAUGCUCCAAUGGAAUGCAAGAGAAGAACGGACUUGUUGUGGAUGCUAAAUUCUGUGCCUGUUUGUUUUGCUGUCUCAUUCUGUCAUUCGUCUCAGAACUUUUGCGUGAGCACCUUUUUGAAAUUAUAUUAUACUCCCUCUUUAGUGAUAUAAACGCUUUUAUAUUAGUUUAUGGAGGGAGUAAUUCCUAAAUACUAGGAAAUGCAGCUGUGCUUUUGUGUCGUUUCGAGCGCACGCACUACCAACAAAGUCGCCCACCUCAUGUUCCUUAUCCACCCAUCCCGACUUUGCUACAUCAACGGACAAUCACGGGGCUUGGCGCCCACCCUCACCAGUAAAAAUCAGGGGGGCCUGAUCAAUUAGGAGGAGAGGGAUAUUUAAGCCCUGUUUGGUUCAUAAGUCCUAAGACUUUUUUUAGUCCUAACUUAUAAGUUCCAAGUCCCUAAAAAGUCACUACAUGUUUGGUUUCCAAGACUUAUAAGUCUCUAUAAGACCAUAUUACAACUAUAAGUCCCUCCUUGAGAGUCUUAUUUCAUAAGUUCCAAAUGCCCACUUUAAGUCCUUAUAAGUCCUUUUUGUUUGGUUUAGAUGCACUUAUAGGGACUUAUUUAAGUCCCUAGACCAAUAAGUCCCAAAAACAAACACCCUCUUAGCCUAAAUAGAAAAGGAUCCGUAAACUAAGAGACAAUCGCUAGGUGGGAAGCAUUUUUUGGGUGCACUCGAUGGCAAGUGCAAUCGUUGCUCGCUGCAAGUAGCUACCCUCUAUGGGCUUUAGAGCAACUCCAAUGCGGCGAUCUAUUUUGUUCGCGGGCGUCUAUUUGAGUUGGUAUAUACACAAAAAUCGGUCCAACGUGCCGAUUCAAACGGACGCGCGUCAGCUUUUUAUCCGUGGGAGACCUAUUCCCGGUUCAUUUUUACGCCGGAUUUGCGUCGGCGCGGAUACGAGACGGACGCGCGCGCGCACUUGGCUUCUCCUCCCCCAGGGCCCGCUGGUCGGUGGCACAUUGGCCUCUCCCCAUCCAACAGCAAACCCUUGCCCACCUCCUUCGCCGCCGCCCAUUUUUUUCGAUGACUCCGCCAGCUGCCGGUGCCGCAACAUCCACUCUGCAACGCCGCCACCUUCCACGGCGCCCGCCACCGCCGUCUUGCCGCCAGGGAACCGACAGCUUCCCACACCCGCUCCCCCCGGACAUAGCCGCGACCAAGAAGCCACCUCGCCGCCCCGGCCAGAUCCUCACCGGCACGCUCAUCGGACGCCGGCACGCUCGUCGGACGCUGGCAGGGCAGCUAGCUGGUCCGUGCGCGCCGCGACUCCCUUCGUCGGCCGUCUCCUUCGUCGACGCCUGCAAGCUGUUCGACAGUUUACCAAGAUACAAAAUGGAAUCCGUCGACGAGUUCUUUCUUCACAAUUUCCUUUGCAACUCCGACGAUUUGUCGUCCGAUGAUGAGGAGGAGAUAUUGGCUGCCGUGUUGGUCCAUCACCACCUCAAUAGCCAGCAACCGUUGUUCCGUGGCUCCAUUCCGGGCCACCUUCCGGCGUUGAAUCGCAACCGAGAGAGCGGGCGUUUCCUUCUUUGGAAGGACUACUUUGAUACAACAAAUAUGUUGUUCAAACAUCAGAAAUUCCGUCGCCGUUUCCGUAUGAGUAGGCAUCUUUUCAAUCGUAUUAGAGAGGGGGUGAUCGGCUAUGAUGACUAUUUCGAAUGCAAAGACGAUGCCUUUGGAAAGAUUGGUUUCUCCUCUUAUUAGAAAUGCACUGCCGCCAUCCAAAUGCUUGCAUACGGAGUGCCCGGUGAUCUCAUUGACGAGUACGUCCGUAUGAGCGAGUCUACAUGCCUAGACUCCCUGUAUAAGUCCUGUAAGGCUGUUAUUGCUGUGUUUGGCCCUGAGUACUUGAGAGAGCCGACUCCUGAAGAUACAACCCAUUUGUUGGCGAUGAAUCCCAGCAGGGGCUUUCCAGGGAUGCUUGGCAGCAUAGAAUGCAUGCACUGGGAGUGGAAGAACUGCCCUUCUUCUUGGCAAGGGCAAUAUAAGGGCCAUGUCAGGGCUUGCACUGUCAUACUAGAGGCCGUGGCGUCUCAAGAUCUCUGGAUCUGGCACUCUUUCUUUGGCAUGGCCAGAUCACACAAUGAUAUCAACGUACUUCAGCGCUCGCUGGUGUUUGCUAGGCUUACCGAAGGCAACAGCCCAUCGGUGAACUUUACUAUCAACGGCCUUACGGCCACAACUACUACAAAGGAUACUACCUGGGUGACGGUAUCUAUCCUCAGUGGAUCAUUAUUGUGAAGACAAUCCCCAACCCAGCCGGAGAGAAGAGGAAAAGAUUUGCCCAAGAGCAAGAGAGUGCUAGGAAGGACAUUGAGCGUGCCUUUGGUGUUUUGCAAUCUCGAUGGGGAAUCAUUCGGUAUCCUGCUAAUACUUGGAACACGCAGAAACUGUGAGAGGUGAUGACUGCUUGUAUGAUCAUGCACAAUAUGAUCGUAGAAGAUGAGUGCCCGGAACGUAUGUACGAUCAAGAGUUUCAGUUCAAGGUGAGAAUGUUGUGCAUGAGCAUGGAGGAGCGGCAACGUUUGAACAGUUCAUCCAAUUUCAUCAUGACAUGCGUGAUUGGGAAACUCGCGUGCAACUGCAAAAUAAUUUGGUUGAGCAUAUGUGGGCUCAUGUUGGCAACCAAUAGAUGUAUCUUCUUUAUUCGGUUUGUAAAACUAUGUUAGACAUUUUUACUUUUAUUCGGCUUGUAAAACUAUGUUAUUUUAUUCGGUUGAAACUAUGUUAUUUGACUAUAUGUUUGAAUGCAAAAGUUGUGUGAAACAAUGCAAAAAUGAGCUAUUUAUUAAAAUAGAGUGGCUAGCCGGCCACGCCGGCACAUAUGGGUCGGCGCGUUGGGCGCACUGGCGACCCAAUAAAACAGGACGGACGCCGGGCGGGCAGCCGACCCAAACGGACAAAAACAUCGUCCGUUGGAGUUGCUCUUAGGUAGAGGAAUUGCUGGGCGGGCGCUCCAAAAGGAUUCAAAAAUCAAAAGUUAAUGUCUACAGUGCCGUCUCUUCACACAUGGACCGGGAGGGAAAGUGAAUGUCUGCACUGUGCUGUCCGUGCCGGCUUGGUUGGAUAGCAUAUCAUCUACUAUAUCGAAAAUUCAAUGUGGGUCGUACUACCAUAUAGUAGCAUUAUCGGAGACGUUGGUCCACCUAGGAAUCAGUGUGCACAGUUGUAUUGCAUGUUGUAUUGCCUUUCCUCACAUCAAUAUUAAACAGUGCCGGUGCUUCUUGUCCGUUGUUCAUUACUGCUGUGGCCCAGUGGUCUUCUACGGUCUUGCCGUUCCUAAUCUUUUCUGGACCGGAGUCCUGUCGCACAUGGUCUGCUCAACCCUAGGCACGAGUCGUUCUGCCCAACGAAAUUCAUCCCUGUUCUCACAUACAGCUGCACAGGCAGUUGUCCUUCCGCAUUCCUCUCCCCCUCGCACUGUUCCUUUUUAGCGCACCGCGGCAAUGGCGGCCUCUUCCUCCUCCACUCCCAAGCCGUGAACAUGGAUCUUCUUCCCUUAAUCCUAUGACCUCGAUGCGACAGGCAAGUGUUUAGCCAAAUAUCCACCGGUGGGAAAAUACCCAGCAAUCAGUACAAGUGUAUCCUCUGCAGUUCUGGGCAAUGCUCCAUGAACUCAGGGUGGCCCUUUGUACGACGCAGGUGCUGACAGAGUAGAAGAGGUGGAGAAGAAUGUGAUGUACAGAGCAAUGCACAAUCGAGCGGAGCGCAGGCUCGUCGACCUGUCCCGCAGCUGCUGAGACAUCCACAUCGUCGUCUCGUGACCGGGACACUAGUGAGAGAGGCCCAGAAAAUUAUUUGCAAGAUAUAUGUAUUAUUUGCUGCAUUGAUAAGAUCUUUUGGGUUUUGUUUUAAUGGAGUACUGAUCAGCUUGUGCUGGAAAACGGUGUACUGAAAUUGUUUACUGGAAAGGUUUCAGUUA